rnacentral:lncRNA from 1 species
GGAGUUUCCAAGGAGUCAGUUGAUUCAUUGCAGAAGAGAGGUGGCUCCCUCUGAGCUCAUAAAUCAUGGAAUCCCCUGAAGGUCUUUUGUUUUUCUCAAAGGUGUUCAGGUUUCUCUGCAGCAGUGGUGCAGAAUUAGAUGGAGACUGCUAUUAAAGUCUUUGAAGCUUACUACUGUGGGGAGAGGAUACCAGAAGAAGAGUCAUGGGAAGAGAAAGACAA